rnacentral:rRNA from 1 species
GACGAACGCUGGCGGCGUGCCUAAUACAUGCAAGUAGAACGCUGAAGAGAGGAGCUUGCUCUUCUUGGAUGAGUUGCGAACGGGUGAGUAACGCGUAGGUAACCUGCCUUGUAGCGGGGGAUAACUAUUGGAAACGAUAGCUAAUACCGCAUAACAAUGGAUGACCCAUGUCAUUUAUUUGAAAGGGGCAAAUGCUCCACUACAAGAUGGACCUGCGUUGUAUUAGCUAGUAGGUGAGGUAACGGCUCACCUAGGCGACGAUACAUAGCCGACCUGAGAGGGUGAUCGGCCACACUGGGACUGAGACACGGCCCAGACUCCUACGGGAGGCAGCAGUAGGGAAUCUUCGGCAAUGGGGGCAACCCUGACCGAGCAACGCCGCGUGAGUGAAGAAGGUUUUCGGAUCGUAAAGCUCUGUUGUAAGUCAAGAACGAGUGUGGGAGUGGAAAGUUCACACUGUGACGGUAGCUUACCAGAAAGGGACGGCUAACUACGUG